rnacentral:lncRNA from 10 species
CUGGAGCCAUCGCAUGAAUAUUUACACUUUAAAAUUCACAAAAGGACAUUCUCACAGGUUCGCUGGAGUUUAAUGAGUAGUUAAUAUAUCUGCACCAAAGUGACAGUUCACAGGUUCCAGGAUAACCAGAUGACUGAGGAAUGUUGAAGAUUGCAGUGAUGGAAGUGCCUCAGUCAGCCUGGAAGACUGUAUGGAUGGAGGUUGCCUGGUCACACUGUCAUGUCCCUCUCUCCCUGAAAAAGAGACACAUUUGCCUUUGUGCAAGGCAAUACAUACAUUUGAUCUAUGUAUACACUUUGGUCUAUGCAUUCUGUUAUUUAACAUUCUAAUAAUGUUGAUGACCUUAAAAUAUGCUUGACAAUGAUCCUUGUAAAUCAUUAUUAUUCUGCCUUCUGCAAGAUAAGAAUUAUGGGCCAGGUAUGGCACUUAACGCCUAUAAUACAAACAUUUUGGAAGGCCAAGGCAGGAGGAUUGCUUGAGCUCAGGAGUUAGAGACCAGCUGGGGCAACAUAGUGAGACCUCAUCUCUACUAAAAAUAAAACAAAAAAAGUUAUGAGAGUGACACUGCACUCCAGCUUGGGUGACAGAGCGAGAUCCUGUAUCCAAAUAAAUAAAUAUCUAAUAUAGGAAUUAUCAAAUUCAACACAUAUUAAUUAUUUUCAUAUCCAUUAAUGGAAAAUAAUAAUGUGGGGAUGAUUCUUAAAAGGGAUUCUGGAAGUGGCUUCUUCAAUUAAAUAUAUUCAAAACUCAUUCCCGCUUACUACACAAGUCAAAGAGGAAUUGAAAAUGUGUGUGAUUCCCACUAAAUUAUUUUCCUUUCAUAUGGCUUGAUGUUACUGUCUUUGUGGAGUGGCUGAGAAAUGUCUCCUUCUUGCCUUUAUCUUCAAAGCCUCUGCCAAUGUGAAGUACAGGAGAGAGAGGCAAGAGCAGGGCCCACUAGUGGAUUCAGCUCAGCCUUAUUCCCCAGGGGAAAACACAUUCUUUUUCACUUUCCUGAGCUGCCUUAUCUGAUAAAAAUGAUUCUUACAUCUCCCAGCAAUGCCUUCUGAUUGUAAUGUAGUUUAUGCCACUGGUUUGCCUAUUUCUCAAAUAUAAACCUACACACACGUACACACAUUUGGCCUUAGCCUUUCUAAUUCCACUCUCAUCAGGACAGAUUGCACACCUGUAAACAUUCUUAGAUCAACUCCAGUAAUCAAUCCACAUUCAUGUAACCCCUGCAGAAUAAAGAUCAUUGGAGACCCUCAAGAUUGACUUCCCAUUUAAACCGUAAGAAAACAAGACCCCAAUGUGUCAGCUGCAGAACCACAAUAAGGACCCGAGUCCCAUGUCUUAUUGUUCAGUGGUUUUUCUAAGUUUCAAGUCUUCUUCUCAGUAAUGGUAAAUACUCUCUACGGCCAUAUCAUCCUGAACAUGCACAAUCUCAUUAACGAUGGCAAAUACUUUCUUCCAGAUGCUGAUGUGGAAAACCUAAUGUUCAUCCUUGAUUAAUAUUUUUCUCUUACAUCACAUAUCUCACCCACCCCUGUACCACCUGUUUCAAGCCAUCAUCACUUUACACCUGCAUUAUUGCAAUAUCCUCCUAAGAAGCUGCUCUUUUUUUUCACCACCUCCAACAUCAGCUCUUAACACAGCAGCCAAAAUGACCAUUUUAAAAUAAAAGUUAGAUCAUCUCUCUCUCUCAGUAUAAACCCUCUUUCUCAGAGUAAAAGCCAGGUCUAACAAUGACACCUCAUAAUUGUCCAUCUUAUCUCCUGACCUCAUUUCUUACCUCUCUCCUUCUCUAUCUCUUUUCCUUAUACCCUGGAAUCCUUGAACUUGAUCCAGACUCAGGACCUCUGCCUGGAACAUUCUACUCUCUGAUAGCUCUAGAACUAGAAUAUAAGGUAAAUAACACUUGCUGAUUUGAAAAAUAUACUACAAACCUAAGUGGUUUAAUACAAUGUCUUUUUUUUUUUGGCUAAUAUUACAGUCCAGUGAGAAUAUGACAGCACCUCUGGUUAGCUCUCUUCUAAGCAGAGAUUACGUCCUUGAUUUUGGUCCCAAAGAGAGAAAGAAAAAGCAAGGAGAAGAGUACAGUGAGUUUUAAGAGUCUGACCUGUAAAUGGCCUAUAUUUUUCCUUCCCACAUUUCAACAACUACUGCUCAGUCUCAUGACUAAUCUAUCUGCAAAGAGAUAAAUUCAGAAGCACAAAGCUAGCCUAAAUAUUAGAAUGCCCCCCUCUAGAUCUCUGCCACAUUAGUCCCCUGCUUUCCUUAGGAAGACAAGGAAAACUUUUUCUGGCUACCCUGCUUAAAAGAGCAGCACUUCCUAAAUUAAACGUUGCUCAGUGAUCUCCAAUCCUGCUUGUUUGUUUGCUUGUUUGAGACAGAGUCAUGCUGUCACCCAGGCUGGAGUUCAGUGGUGUGAUCUUGGCUCACUCUAAGCUCCACCUCAUGGGUUCAAGUGAUUCUCCUGCCUCAGCCUCCCAAGUAGCUGGGAUUACAGGUGCCCAGCACUAUGCCUGGCUAAUUUUUGUAUUUUUAGUAGAGACGGGGUUUCACCAUGUUGGCCAGGCUAGUCUCAAACUCCUGACCUCAAGUGAUCCAUCUGCCUCGGCCUCCCAAAGUGCUGGGAUUACAGGUGUGAGCCACUGCGCCCGGCCCAAUCCUGUUUUUUUUAAUGUCCCUGGACACCCAGCUCAAUUGCAUGUUUUGCUUUUCUUAAAGUUAGGUGAAGUCAGGCAAUGGAGCUUUUAGACAAGAAAAUGCAUAUAAACUGAGUGGAAUUGAUCAAACCUUGUCAUCCUGCUUCCUUAAAAUGCCUGUGUGCUGUUCUCUACACCCUUUCUUCAACCACCAACUGAACACAGGGUUCUAGAGUUCUCAGGAGGGCAGAUACAAGAGAGCAGGAGGGUGGGUUCCUGAAUGACCACAUGGAAGGCUUCCCACUAAUAAGAAAUCUUAGUAUUGGACUUCACAUAAACACUGAGAAAAUGGCUCUUUGGGAAGCCACUAAAAUUUUUUGAUUUAUCUAUUAUAGCAGUUAGUUAUAGCCUUCCCAUUUCAAUGUCCUAUUUCUCUGAAUGUGCUUUAUUUAAAACCACAUCACUUAUCACCAUCUGACAUAUUCUGUAUUUGCCUGUCACUUUUUCUCCUGUAUCUUCUGUCCAGAGAAAGUGUUGGCCAACUAUAACCCAAGAGCCAAAUCUAGCUUGCUUCCUGUUUUCAUAUGUAAUUAUUUUUUGGAAUAUAGCCACAGCUAUUAAUUUCUGUAUUCAGAGAGGAGGAGCUGUGUCUAUGCUACAACAGGAGAGUUCAGUAGUUGCAACAGAGAAACUGUAUGAUCUACAAACAAUAUUUACUAUCUGGCCCUUUACAGAAACAGUUUGCCAAUGUUUGUACUAGAAUGUAAACUCCAAGAAUGUAAAACCUUUGUCUCUUUAGUUUGCUGUUAUAUACCCAGCAUUAGAACAGUCUCUGGUCCAUUGCAGGUAUUCAUAUAAUAUUUGUUAAAUGCAUAAAUGAAUAAGUGAAUGAGUGUGCAGUAGGCCAAAAAUGUUCCAGAAAAAAAAUUCAUAUCUAAAUUUCUUGAACCUCUGAAUAUUACCUUACAUGAAAAAUCAGACAAACAAAAAUCAAUCAUUGCAUGUGAUUAAGUUAAAGAUCUUGACCUAAAAGAUUAUCCAGUAUUAGCCAGAUGGACUCGAAAUACAAUCACAUGUAUCUGUAUAAGAGGGAAGCAGAAAGAAAUUUGACCACACAGACAGAAAAGGAGAGGGGAUGUGAUCACACAGGCAGAGGUUAGACUGAUGUACCACAAGCCAAUGAAUGUUGGUGGCCACUAGAAAUAUUAUCUAAAGGAUUAGGAAUUAUCUGUUUAGAACUUUCCUGAUGGCCACACCCUCUAAACCCCCUGAUACUGAUUUCAGAUUUAUGACAUCCACAACUGUAAAAGAAUAAAUUUCUCCUGUUUAAGCCACCAAGUUUCCAGUAAUUUGUUACAGAGGCAGCAGGAAACCAAUACAGAGGGGAAAGUGACUUAAAACUACUUCUAAUUCCAAGAUAAUGCUCAAAAUGCUCAUGCAAAAACUACUUCUUGUGUCAACAUUCAGUCUAUAUAAGUGCUCUUGAAAUUAAUUAUCACUAUAAUUCAGUCUCAUGAGGAAAAAUAUUUUGGCUUUUUUUGUGAACCAAAAAUUUAUAGCAAUUCAUAAGUUAUAGUUUAUGGAUGAAAUUAAACAUAUUUGAGAUUAUUUUUAUAUUAGCACUUUAUAAAUCAGUUGCUGAAAUAGUCUGUUUUGAAAUAUUAGAUAUAACUGCCAGGAAUAAUUCUGAUAUUUUCUUUAACAUAUUUUAGUCAUUUCUUGAAUUGCAUUGUUUUAUGAUCAUAAAUUCUCAAACUAAUAAAAUUAAUUGCUGUUGAAAAAUAAGAAUUGUGAAUGUCUUCUGGGUGAAGGCUGAGCAUGUAAAAAGUUUUUUUUUUUCCUUAAUAAAAUGAGACUCAGGGGAGGAAGUUCCCUUCUUCUCCUUCAGAGAAUGUGGUCAUGAUCAUUUCUCCCUGCAAAGAUCUGGAAAGGCUGCAGCCGUUUUGGAAAUAUGGACUUACACUUGGCUGAUAGGCUGAGUCUGGGAGAGUGCAAAGAUGAAAAAACACCUAGCACAUGGAUCGUGUCACUGAGCUACUGAAUCAAUCAUGGAACCACGCUCCAUCUGUACUUUGUGUUCUCUCAUAGAAUAAAUAUUCACUUUGGGUUGUGUAUCCGUUACUU